UUGUGGAGGAGGACGCCGAAGGUGGGGCUAAUGACUGGGGUGAAGUCGUAACAAGGUAGCCGUACCGGAAGGUGCGGCUGGAUCACCUCCUAACAGGGAGACAACAAAAUGUUUAAUAUUAUUAUUUUGUCACCUUAGGUCGAUCGGUAUCUCACAUCCUUAAAUUAAUUAAGGAUUUUAUUUCCUAAGUUUUUCUAGGUCACACCCAUUAUUUUUCCUGGGCCAUUAGCUCAGGUGGUUAGAGCGCACCCCUGAUAAGGGUGAGGUCCCUGGUUCAAGUCCAGGAUGGCCCAUAUCUCUAUGUUGGGGGUAUAGCUCAGUUGGUAGAGCGCCUGCUUUGCAAGCAGGAUGUCAGCGGUUCGAGUCCGCUUACCUCCACUGAUCACCACCUCUUCCAUAAUCGGUAGAAAGGAAAUUUUUUGAGUUGUGAUCAAAUUCUGAAAGAAUCUAGCUUCCUAAUGAAACCAUUAAGAUGCUGGACUCAUUGAAUUAAUUUCAUUGUUUUCAGAGAACCUUGACAACUGCAUAGAUUAUUUUUAAAGACAAUAAGCAUCUUUAAUGAUGCAGAUUUAUUAUUUGUGCAAAUGCAUUAAUAACAAUUCUAUUAAGCUGAUGCUUCAAUAUUUGAAGUUAUUGGUCAAGCUACAA
rnacentral:misc_RNA from 1 species